AGUAGCCAUUUUGGAGCCACAGUGACUGCCAGCAGUAGGGGUUCCAGUAGGGGAGGUAAGAGAUUUUCACUGUCUUUGUAUGUGGCGCACAGGCUGCCCUAACAGUGUCGGCACCACGGGCGGGCGAGCUGGGCCAGAGGUUAGGGUCUUAGGUUCACACGCAGCCCGGUGCACAGAUGUCACUCUGGACAAAUCAUUUAUCUUUGUCUCAGUUCUUCAUCUGCAAGAUGGAUUUCUAGUGCCACUGAAUUAGGAUGAGCCGAGCUUGGAAAAUACAAACAUUUCUAAGAUAAAUAUGUUUUUCGAAUGCAGAGAAAUGGCGAUAAGCAGUAUUGGCAAGAGAAGCUCCGUAUGUCCAAAGCUAUCGUCCAGUUCUCCAUUGUUUCUGAUGCACAGUUAUUCCAGGGGCCCUGAAGGAAAUAGACUUUACUGUUGAAGAUCAAAGACCUUGAUGAUAGAAAUCAGCACUGGAGUUCGUCUGAAGGCAUGAAAGGGAAUAGCCAAUGGAGUCAGACAGAAAAUUCUUGACCUUACAUUUCUGAAGUAAAUGAAAAACUGAUAUAUAAAAGCGCUGUGGCUUCUUGUCUAUGAACCAUCCCUGGGUUAAACUAGGGGCGGAAGGAAGAGUGUGUCUUUUCCCAAUCUAGUUGCAGGGAGAUUUAGCUCUGUGGGGUUUCAUUUCAGUUUCUUCCCCACUUGUCUUUGUUGUAUGGGUUUCCCUCCACUGGAUUGGUGGGUGGAUAGGUGGGCGGGCCGAUUCCAUUGACUGCCUUGGAUGCUAUCUAGGGUCAGGGCCUAGGUUAGCAGGAAUGUGUAAGAACACAGGCAAACCUCAGGUAGGUCCUCAAGGGAAAGAAUGGCUAUUUAAUGAUGCAUUGAGAGUUACAUCUGGCUCCUCCAUCCCCCCUCCCACCUUUGAAGUAAAAGAAGGCAGAACAGAACAAAAACACAGUUCAGAAUUGUUUCUUUAACACCAGAGGAUGCCAGAAGGGCUUUGCCUUCAGUUUUGGGGCAGAGAAACGGAUUAUCCCUUUGCUUGCAAAAAGAGAAAAGCAGAACCAUCAUAUGGUUCUUUAUUUCCACAGCUGCAGUUACUCUGUUUUCUGUGAGGGCUUCUUUGCUUCCAACGCGUCCCGUUUUUUGGUAGCAGCUUGGAAGAUUUAUUCAGCAAAUAUUUAGUUUGUCCCAGCAUGGAAUUAGUCAGUACCCAUGAUAAAUGAUGAAAUUAUGACCAUCAGAAUCUGGCUGUGGGCGUGUAGGAACAUGAGGCAAUCCAGGUGCAGCCACACUUUCGAAUCAGAAUCCUUGAGGGACAGGAAAUUGAAUCCUGAUUAUUCAGCAACCAAAAGAUAAUGAGCCCAAAAGUAAGGGAGAUAGCACUAGCUGUCCUCUCUGUGUGCUAGAAUAUUGCGAAGUGGGUGUCCUUAAAAGAAACCAAACUUCAAGUUGUCCUCUGACAUCCACAUGCCCUGCACUAUGACUCCCGUAUGCCCCCACCCCACAAGUGCACACAAAAUAAACGGGCACAUAAUACAAAUUCAAAUUAACCUACAGACAGCACUCAUUUAGGAUAAAAGGAAUAUUUGAGAAAAUCAAAGCCAAAGAGAAAAUCAGGGAGAACUAAGCCAGCAGGGAAGGCAUGUAAAAGCUGUGACUCUCACGAUGUCUACCUGCCCAGUGCCAGAGCCCUGAGUUUCUUGGCGGACACCCUCAGUGGGAAGCUGGGAAUUACGAGUUCCAAGUGCCCAUGGACAAAAUGCAGAAUAGUCCUAAAGAAGCAUAGCAAUCUCGCUUCUUAGACUUGAGAAACAAUUCUUCCUCCCAUGGGUCCUCAUAAAAAGUCAAUGAAUCAUCUGGUAGAGUUCCUGGAGAAGAUCUUCAUGGGAGUGGGGUGAGCUUGGGGGCAGGGCUGCCUCGUUGUAUGCCCCUAGGGCCUCAUCCACACUCCACUAUUCAGUAACUGAAGUCACUUAACCUUUCUGAGACCAAUGCACUUCCACUGGGAAACAAGAGCCGGAGUAGCCCCUUGGGCUUCAUCCAGAAGCCCAAGUCUCUGUUUUGGCUUCCCAUCAUUUCAGUAGGUCUUUAAAAAGUUCCGUUUGAAGAAAAAAAGAAACCCAGCUUACAAAGGCAGAGUCCUUCUGAAAUAAGACUGUGUGGGUGUGUUUGGGAAGUGUGUACUCAAACUUCUUGUGAAUCUACAGUGCCAAAUAGUCCAGGCAGGAAACAGAAGCCAUACCAGCAUUUAAAAGGGAAGUAAGUAUUUGAGGAAUUAAUAACUGGUGUUAAGGAAGCAUUCAUAAUUGUAUAUAAAAGUACACUGAUAGUCAACAGUGAGCUAGACAGGGUGUGCACCCCAGUGCCCAGUGUAGAACCCACUUGCAGAGGGAGUGGCUGGGUCUUGGCCUGCAUGGUUCCUAAUGCCUCAGUCCAAGCCUAGUUGCAUUGUUGGUCCUGGAGAAGGAGGACACACAGACAGGAAUGAUAUACACAAAGUCUGCUAACGGGAUCCCAGCAACCCUCCUGAUGUUGUGUGCCUUCAGAAGUUCCUUGCAGCCGCCCUGUAGAACAAGAAAGGCAGAGACAUCCACUCCACGGAAGUCUCUUCCGCUGUUGACAUCUGUUACUGAGGAAACUGAAAAGGGCACCUACUGAAAACGGAGAAAUAUUUCAGGUUUCGGUUCCAGUCUUGCAAAGGGGCAUAGUGAAGAGUGAAUCUGAAUCUCAGGGGCAAUAAAUGGAUGACUGGAAGACUUACAGUCCCAAAUAGUUAAAUUCCAAGAUUUGGAAUGUACAUUUUCAAAACAACCUGUAUGCUGGCUAAGGAGCUAGCAUGAGAAAGUGGCUGCUGGGUGUUUCUAAGCAAUUGACCUUGACUUUGUCAAGUAAGCAAACUGCAUUUCUGUAUAGAAGAGAGAAUGGUAAUUUAGAUUAUUGAAACCUCACUCAAUUAGUCAAUUAUCAUGUGAAAGGGAGUCUAUAGUUUAGGUACAUGUUAAUUCAUCAAUGUGGUCAGUCAGUAAAUAUUCAAUGAAUAUUUACUUCCAGCUAGGUACCAGGAAUACAGAGAAAGAUAACAAUGAAAAUGGCUCCAUGCCUUCAUACUGAUAACCGCCUUGAGGAAGAUAUGUGAGUUCAGCGAAAGCCGAGAGUAGAGAGACUUGACUUUCUCAGGUCUGGGAAGAAUUUCUAGCUAGUGAAAGUUGUUGUUAAAGGAGUCCGCUCAUUGUCUAACCACACAGCGUGCUAGGCAACGACCAAACAAGACAAAUGAACGUUCCUUACAAAGAUUCUGGGGAGGGAGAGAACACAAACCUACUUCAACCUGACUGUCUUUGCUAAAGAUCGAUAUGGCUGAUGCAGGGAUUCCUCUGCCACCGAGGAAGACUGUUUCUCCAGGCAUUUCAUUUACCCCUCUGCUCACCUGGAAUUUCAGCUCAUCUGUUCAGACUAGCGAUUUACAUCAUCCAGCUUCCAAAGAGUCACGCAAGACAUUUACUUUAGAAGAAUUCAUUUAUUAUUUUUAGGGGCUGCAUGCUGCACUUGUGGAGGUCAGAGGGCAACUUGGCCACAUUAGUUCUUUUCUUCUGCCUUCAUGCGGUGCCAGAGCAGUGACUCAGGCCAUUACGCUUGUAUGGCCAGGGUUUCACUCACCGAGACAUUUUCCCUGUCCUAUGGCUUUAUAAUAGAUUCCUGCCCCUCUCUGUACAUGCACUUUCUGUGGCCUCUCCACCUCUUGAGAGCUCUAAGACACGUUUUGACAGGUCUGUAAACACAUCAAUUCCUCCAUGAGGACUUAUCUCAACCUUUGUUUGUUCUCCACUGGGAGGCACCCGCAAUGCCUCCAUACAUUUAGUUGUUAUCACCUCACACUGAUGUCUGAUGUUACUGGCAUCUAGAAGAUUAGAGGUGAGAGUAAGCCUCUUAAAAUGAGAAAAGGGGAGUAACGCAUCUACCUCCCAAAGGAAGAGUUGGGAAACGUUGCUUCAUGACUUUAUGCUGCUGUUGUGCCUCCCUACUUACUGAAGCUGUUGUCAUGGAUAGAAGAGCUUCAAUGACACCGAGAUCUCUUAUGCAUGGCUAGGCACAGAGAGCGUCUUAGUCAGGGUGACCAUUGCUGUGAGAAUACACUAUGACCAAAGCAACUUGGGUGUGUGGGGGGGAUUCAGCUCAUGCUUCCACAGCAGCGUUCAUCAACAAUGGAAGUCAGGACAGGAACUGAAGCAGAGCAGAAUCUGGAGCCAGGAGCUCAUGCAGAGACCAUGGAGGAGUGCUGCUUUACUGGCUUCCUCCUCAUGGCUUUCUCAGCCUGGCUUCUCAUUAGAAUCCAGGACCACCAGCCCAGGGGUGGCACUACCCAUGAUGAGCUGACCAACCUCCCACUAUAAAGCCCCAAUUAAGACAUAAGGAUUGCCCAUAGCCUGAUAUGAUGGCAGCAUUUUCCCAGUUGACUCUCCCUCUCCUCCAAUGACACAAGUUUGUGUCAAGUUGACAUAAAUUGAGCCAGCACAGAGGGUGAAGGUAGAAGUUAGGAGUUGAAGGUAAUGAGAAGAACAACCCAUUCUUCAAAAUCAUCUGGAAAAAGCCAGAUGUGCUGGUCAACACGACACGAAUUAGGGUCACCUGGGAAAUAGGGAUCACAAUUGCUGAGUUGCCUCCAUCAAACUGACAGGUUUUUUACCCUCUUUUUUCUUAACUGAUAACUGAUGUAGGGGUACCCAACCCACCAUGGGUGUUGCCAUACUGAAGCCAAAGGUCAUGAUCUGUAGAAGAAAAGUAGGUGACCAAAAUAGAGGAAGCAAGCCAGUAAGCAGCAUCCUUCAACGGUUUUCCGCCUUGAUCUCUAGAUCCAGGAUCCAGACUGGAGUUCCUGCCUUGGUUUGUCUCAGUGAUGGACUAUCUCCCAUAAAUCAAAUAAAAACCUUUCUUGCCCAAGUUGUUUUGGUCAUGGUGCUUAUCACAGUAACAGAAAGCCUGGCUGCGUAGGAUGUCACAAGGACUCCACUGAAAAGCUAGUGAAGCCUAAAUUCUGAGAGUUUUAAUAUGAAGCCACAGACCUCUGUCUGAACUGGCCCAAGGUGAAAGGAUUUUGAUUAUCACUAUUGAGGCAGGCAAGCAUAGGGAAUAGUUUAGUAACCUGGAACUCCACCUGGUUUGGGUUAUGCAUACAUUCCUCUUCAAAUAAUAUACUUUACAUAGUAGGCAAACCCUGCCACUAUGAACAAUGUGCCUAUUAACAUACAAACAGUAUAAGACUCUCCCACCUCCAUCAUGUACACCCCUCUCUAUGCAACAGAGUGAAUUUCACCUCCCCUUAAAACAAUCAAACUCAACAGAUUCUAUGUUCAUGCUAUCAUGUAUAGUUAGAAAAUAGAAGUGCUCAUUUGACCAGUACCGGUUUUAGACAGUAGGUCAAAAUUGUGCCUUCACAAUUGAACUUUUAGGGAGAAUUCCUUAUUUACAAUUUUUUUAAAACUAUCAGUAUAUGUGUAUAACUAACUAACUAACUAACUAACUAACUAACUAACUAAGUAACUAACUAACUGUGUGAAUGUAUGCGUGUGAGCACUGAUGAUUUCAGAAGCCAGAGAUAUGAGUGAGUGUCUCUAGAGUUGCAGUUAGAGGCUGUUGUGAGCUGCCUAACUUGGAUGCUGGGAAUCAAACUCAGGUUCUGUAAGUGCAACAAGUAUCACUGAGCCAUUUCUUGGGCCCCUUGUUUCACAUUUAUGCCCAUGAAUGACUGAACACAUACAUGAUUAAGACUCUGUACACUACAGUAAGGAAAAUGCUCAGUAGACACAGCUUAAUUUAUCAGUCAACACAGAACCUCUCCCACUGUGCUCCCAUAGCCAAACUCCUCUCCCCCCACCUGAAUUCUGUAGAGGAAGCCUCAAAAGAAAUUGAGUUAGCCUUACUUCUGUUCUUUUACAGUAUAUUAUGAUCUUUCCCUUUUCCUCUUUUAAUUAGUAUCCUUGCCACGUUUGAAAAAUCUUUGUGGAAAACUUGGAGAUACCGGGCCCUGACCCUGGCCACUGGUAACAGUGAUAAAUAUGAAAAAAGUUUAAAAAGUCCACAUAGACAGCAUUGUGCACGGUAGCUAAGGAAUUUUAAAGAAAUCUUAUUGCGAAUAUUUUCAGCAUAUUCAAUGUAGCAGACCUUUAACUCUAGGUUUUGAGACAGGGUCUCGUGCACUCCAGGCUGGCCAAAGAUGUCCUUGAAUAUCUGAUAUUCCUGCCUUCACCUCUCUGGCCUGCAGCUACAGACAGGUAUGCAUUCUAACCCCAGAUACCCAGUGCUUUGUGCACGCUAGGCAGCAACUCUGCAACUGAGGUAUUUCUUUAGCCCCGGGAACUGUAGAAUUUUAACAGUCAGACCUCCCUGUAUCUAAUCCUUUCUAACUAACUGUUGUGGGACGCUAUAAAUUGCAGACUCAGAAAUUAUAUAAAACAUACACAGCUUUUCCAAAAAUCAUUUUAAAAUUAAUAACGAAUUAGAAAAUGGAUCUACGCAUUGCAGGAUAGUUGAUUCCAUUGUGAAACCCAAGAUGUUCAAUUGGAAAAACCUUGUUGUGUCGUGUCUCAGCCCUAGCAUAUACCUUUAACCCAAGAGCUUUCUGUAAACCAGAGCCGGAUAAAGUCGAUGAUAGGUCACGAGGUGAAGCAAGCACCCAGCUGACAGGGGGUGAACCUCAGGAAGUAGAAGGAGGUCCUUUGAGUUGAAGGGUAGUUAAGACAAUAUGGAGAGGAGAAGUAGCCUUUUCCUUCUGAGGCAUUGGCAGAGUAGGAGGGUCCGUUGGGUGCUCUCUGCCACUCUGUGCAGGCAGGCUAUUACUAGUCUGUAGAUUUAACUGGGUAAAGUAUUGGCAGUUUUUAAAUUGUCCUUCCAUGUUCUGAUUGCACCAAACAUAGUGGUUGAUAUGGAAGAAAUUCCAUCCAAAUCCACGUGUGGCACACACCCAUAAUUCCAGGACUUGGAAGGUAGAAUCGGGAAGAUGUAGAGUUCGAGAUCAGCUUCAGAUACAUAGUAAGUUUGUGAUAAUCCUUAAUUACAGAGGAAUCCUCUUGGGGGAAAAGAUCUGAGAAAAAAAUAAUUAAGAAAAAGGUAAGAAGCUUUAUGUAUGUGAAAAUUUUCAUUGUCUUUUUUGUCAUUAAAUUAUUAGGUCAUUCACUUUACAUUCAGAUUGCAGCAGCCCACCUUCCUUUCUCUCCCAGCCCCACUCGCACACCCCUCCUCCUGCCCACUCCCCUUCUCCUCUGAGAAUGGAAAGGUCCCCCUGGGUACAAAUAGACCCUGCGACAUCAAUUCACAGUAAGGCUAGGCACCCAUCUAGGAGAAAUGGAUCCAAAGGGAAGCAACAGAGUCAAAUCCAGCCUCUGCUUCCAGUGUUAUGGAACCUACAUACAGACAUAUAUUGGUGACGUAAGUGUAGGGGGCUAGGUCUAUCCCAUGCAUACUCUUUGCUUAGUGGUUCAGUCUCUGUGAGUCUCUGGGGGCCUAGGUUAGUCAGCUCUGUAAGUCUUCUUGUGUCCUCGACACCUCCAGCUCCCUCAGUCCUUUUUUCUACUCUUCCCCAAGACUCCCUGACCUCUGCCUGUUGUUUAACUGAGGGUCUCUGCAUCUGUUUCCAUCAGCUACUGGAUGAAACCUCUCAGAAGACAGUUACACUAGGCUCCUGUUUGCAAGGACAGCAGAAUAGUGUCAGGAGUUGUUUUUCUCUCCUGGGAGGAGUCUCAAGUCGGGUCAGUCAUUGGUUGGCCAUUGCAUCAAUCUAUGCUCUAACUAGUAGGCAGGACAAAUUUUGGGUUAAAGGUUUUGUGGCUGGGCUGGUGUUCCCUCAAAUUAGAAGUCCCACAUGGCUACAGGAGGCGGUCACUUCCAUCUCCGGGUGCCCAGUUGCUGGGAGUAUCAGCUGGGUUCACCCCCAUAGACUCCCAGGAGCCUCCCUGUCCCAAGUCUCUGGAUCCUCCCAGAAAUGGCUCCCCCCCCAUCUGAUUUCCAAUCCCUCUCUCCACCUCCUCCAGCCCCACUUCCCCACACCUGAUCCACAUCCCUGUUCUCCUCACCCUCUCUUCUCCCCAGUUCCUUCCCUCCACACACCUCCAUUAUUCAUUUUAUUUCCCUUUCUGAGUGAGAUUCAAGCAUCAGAAUGACUCAGAGUCCACCUUAUACACAUCACAAUGGCUAAGGUAAAACUUCAAGUGAGAGCACAAGCUAGGAGGAUGGAGGGCAUGGGGAGCACUUCUUCACUGCUGGGGGAGUGCAAACUUGUACAACCAGUUUGGAAAACAUAAGCAUCUUCAUACUACCUGGGCAAUAAGUAACCGUGCAUAUAUUACUUAAGUAGACAAGCUUUAGAGUAUUACAAUUCGAACUCUAAGUAUGCUCACCCUGGUGAAAAGACUUUAGUCUCUGCUGUACUCCUGGUAUGUAUACGUGGAUGUACGAUGUAUGAAUGUAUGUAUUCAUGCAUGUAUGUUUGUAUGUGUGCAUGUAUUAUUGUGUGAGAAAGGGUCUUACUCAGUAGACUGGACUGAGGUAAACUCAUAGUCCUUGUGCCUCAGCACCCCCAGACUCUACUAAAUACUUUGGUUAAUCUGUCUCUCCUCUCCUUUCCUCUCCUUCCCUCUCCCCUCCUUUCCCCUCCCUCCUUUCCCCUUCUCUCCCCUCCCCUCCUCUGCCCUCCAUUCUCCCUCCCUUCCUCUUCUCUGCCCUUCCCCUCCCUUCUCUGUCCCUCUAGACUUAGACAUUUAAUAAUAUGUGUUUCUUUUUAAUCCUAUCCUCUGUCUAAAAAUAGUUUAUUGUAUUUUCUGUUAUGUUUAUGUGUGUGUGUCUUUGUGUCUUAUGUCUUUGUGUCUGUCUGUCUGUCUGUCUGUCUGUCUAUUUGAGGCCUUGCUUGUGCUGAGAGUCAGUUUUCAUUUUUUUUUUCUUUUCGGUGUGGGAUAUGAGGAUUGAAAGCAGAUGACAAAAGCCCAAAUUGUGUUUUAAAAGGACAAGCUUCUUUUUAACGAGAGGAGGCCAUGAGGCUGGUAUGGGGCUGUAGGGAAAUGGAACUGGGUGAGUGAAUGUGACCUAAAAACAUUGUAUAUGCAUAUGAAAUCACCACAAAGGAAAUCCACUUAAUGAAAGAAGGUGAACUCUUAAAAAUCAAAAUCGCCAGCAGUGUGUAUUCUGAAGACUCUUUAACAGUUGAUAAUAGAAAGACUAAAUGAGGCGUAAGACUUAGAAUUAAAACUGAUUUCAUUCAUGGGGACUCAGGGUUUCCAUCUGAGCUGGGGUCGGCAGGCUUCCUUGUCUGGAAGGGAGCUGGCCCCAGCACUCUGCUUUCCUUCAGUGUUUGCACAGAUUCACCUUUGACACACUCCUGAUAAGAUGGCUGCAUUUCCUUGGAGAUAAUCAGCCCAGCCCCUGGUUUGAUGCAGGGCUGAUGAGCUCACAGUUUAGACGUAGUGAUUGCCGCCGGGUUUUAAUGGUCAGAGUGUCAAGUGUUGGAAGUGCAAUUUAACAAAAACUUCCAACUUGCCCACCUCUUGCUACAACACAUUUUAAACCCAAGAAAGUAAAAUGUUUUGACAUGGGGACCUGUGACCAAGUGCUCACCCUGUAGUCCCAAGAAUCCAUGCAAUCUCCUGGAUGAAACUUAAAAGAUAAAAGGUUUAAAGGUUUUCCUGCUUGAUUUGUCUUUUCUGAUGUUUAAAAGUUUCCUUCUUCUGGGCUUGAGAAUCGGCAAACAAAAUACUUCAAACAUUUAUGUGACUUCUGCUGUGGUUCCUUUUGUUGUAGGUAGUAAAAAUCCAGGGAAACAGGAAGGGUCAUGAUUUGCCAAAGGUCAAAGAUCACAAUGAGUGACUGACUCAAGAGGCCACGAGGUCAAAGGUGCAACGGGAAUCCCAUAACCUCUGCUUCACAUUCUGCAUUAGAGGGGCCCGCAGUGCUUUCUGACUUCUGUGAAAGAACCCAUACACAUGUUCACAGUUUGCCUUGAAAAAUUACUUGAAAAUGAUUCUGCCCUAGACGAUUUUCCCUUUGAAACCAAGUGGCAGGAAGCAGGCUUUUAAAGAAAUUGAAGGUGUCCUAGCUGUUUGUUUGUAUUCGAUGCCAGCCUCCCAGAAGAGGAGGAACUAACAGAGAUUAAUAUGUGUUUUUAAAUGGAAAAAUAAGGUCUUCUCUUGGGAGAUCAAAACCCGAACUGAGGAAGCACAUUUACUCUUAUUUUUUAUUUCAGUCGACUGUGUGCUUCUGGACUGUGCCUAAAAUUCUGGUUCUGAGUUUUGGAAAACUACAAAUAACGAAGCCUCAGGCAUCACUGAUGGGUCCUGUUUGGGACACAUCUUCAUGCUAAAAUUUUACAGAAGUUGUCCUACUGCAUUAUUCCCCCUCCCUGCUUUCUGAUUUAAAGCAAUGGAGACCUCGUGAUGUAUUAGAAGCUGGAGAUAAACUUACAGCAUGUGGAGCUGAGGCAGAGUACAGAUCCUCGCUUUUCAACUCCAUUGGUGUCUAACCUCUCAUGAGCACUUAAUUCCUCCUGGAGAAGAAAACGGUCAUGGUAAAGAAUCCUGUGGCCCGUGAAGGGUAAUUGGAUAACAUCUUUUGAAAGAUUUACAAGGCUGCCAAAGUUUUUGCCAGCUUUAAACCUGAUUGAUUCAGUGUGAAAAGAUCGGAACAAUUCUGACCUAAAAGUUUAAAGACAAACCUUUCCUGUGAAAGCAUAAUUUAGGGCCCACAAUAAAAUUGUAUUGGAAACAG